UACGAAGGGGGCUAGCGUUGUUCGGAAUUACUGGGCGUAAAGCGUGCGCAGGCGGCUUCUCAAGUCAGGGGUGAAAGCCCAGAGCUCAACUCUGGAAUUGCCUUUGAGACUGAGUGGCUUGAGUACGAGAGAGGUGAGUGGAAUUCCCAGUGUAGAGGUGAAAUGCGUAGAUAUCGGGAGGAACACCUGUGGCGAAAGCGGCGCACUGGACCACAACUGACGCUGAGGCG
rnacentral:rRNA from 1 species